GCGGAAGCGGAAGCCGGAAGCGCAGUCAAAGGAGCGAUGGCAGCCGGUGGCGGUCUGAGCCGCUCGGAGCGCAAAGCUGCUGAGCGGGUCCGGAGGCUGCGGGAGGAGCAGCAGCGGGAGCGCCUCCGCCAGGUGUCACGCAUCCUGAGGAAGGCGGCUGCAGAGCGCAGCGCGGAGGAGGGCCGGCUCUUGGCCGAGAGCGAGGAUCUGGUGACCGAGCUGCAGGGUCGAAGUCGGCGGCGUGAGGGCCUCAAGCGCCGCCAGGAGGAGGUGUGUGAUGACCCGGAGGAGCUGCGGAGGAAGGUCCGCGAACUGGCCGGAGCUGUCCGAAGUGCCAGGCACUUGGUUGUCUACACGGGCGCUGGAAUCAGCACAGCAGCUUCUAUCCCAGAUUAUCGGGGUCCUAAUGGAGUAUGGACACUGCUUCAGAAAGGAAGGCCUGUGAGUGCUGCCGACCUAAGCGAAGCGGAGCCUACCCUCACCCACAUGAGCAUCACCCGUUUGCAUGAGCAAAAGCUGGUGCAACACGUGGUGUCUCAGAACUGUGAUGGGCUCCACCUGCGGAGUGGGUUGCCCCGGACCGCCAUCUCAGAGCUCCAUGGGAAUAUGUAUAUUGAAGUCUGCACCUCCUGCAUCCCUAACAGAGAGUAUGUACGAGUGUUUGAUGUGACUGAGCGUACUGCCCUUCACCGACACCUGACAGGCCGGACCUGCCACAAGUGCGGGACCCAGCUUCGGGAUACCAUUGUGCACUUUGGGGAGAGGGGGACAUUAGGGCAGCCUCUGAACUGGGAGGCAGCGACCGAGGCUGCUAGCAAAGCAGACACAAUCCUGUGUUUAGGGUCCAGCUUGAAGGUACUAAAGAAAUAUCCCCGCCUCUGGUGCAUGACGAAGCCUCCAAGCCGUCGACCCAAACUCUACAUCGUGAACCUGCAGUGGACCCCGAAGGAUGACUGGGCUGCCCUGAAACUCCAUGGGAAGUGUGAUGAUGUCAUGCAACUCCUCAUGAAUGAACUGGGCCUGGAGAUUCCUGUCUACAACCGGGUCUUAUAGGGGAAAUCAAUAACUUCUUUUAAUCAAAGGGUUCAAGAAAUUAAGGAUCCCUUCACCUCUGGGCCUGGCAAUUCUUCUCCCACCAACAGUGGGUGAGACAGAAGAGGCUGUCGAGCGAGGGCUGCUGCUGCCCUGAAGACUUUCCCCUGCAGCUUGGUGUCCCCUGCAGCUUGGUGUCACUGACGCUGCUUCCAGCCAAAGCCCAGAUUAAGACAUAGGUGGCAGGAUCCAAUCUUCUCCUUGGCGACCCCCCUCCGUGCUGGUGAAGAAGGCAGCCACAGUAGGAAGUCACUAUGCAGAAGCAGAGAAGAAGCCCCACCUGGGGACCAGAGUGACCCCCUUGCCUCAGCUCCCCCUAUCCUAGGAGGCUGGUUUGGCAGGGGUUGUGCCAAGCGUGCAAAAAGGAAGAAAGUGGCAUAGCCCGGAGUUGACAAAGAACAGUUGGCACUUUGCAGAUGGCUUGACCCUUGUUCAGGGGCUCCGCCCGUGUCGCCGUGAAGGCGAGAGUGCCCCCUCCGGCUCUAGUGGGUGCCGGCUUCGCGGUGACGGUCGUCUUUAGCCAUUUGUCCUUGUGGAAAGGCUCUCUUGCACUGCUGUGACUGCCCCGCUAUGGGCUUGAUCUUCAAGGACACCUCCCUCCUGUUCACCCCUGUACAAAGGUGGCAGCAAGGCCUCUGUGAGAAGAGCUCCGGCCCUUCCCAGGCCUGGCCAGCAGGAGAGUCCACCACUGCCUUACCUCACUCUCCAGGCUAGUCUCAGGGCCUCCCUCUUUCUACUCCUUAUCACGUACAAGUGUUCACUUUAUAGAAGCCUUUUUCUGUAUUGGGUAUGCGGCACAGGGAGAAUCUAACUAAGCCUCCAGUCUGAGCAAGUCUUAUUAAACAUCUCUCAAUUGC